rnacentral:lncRNA from 10 species
GUGAAAGCGAAGAGAGGCUGGGAUGAAGGGUGCAAAGGGAUAGUAAAGAAAGCAUGUUUGAGAUCCAGAACAGAAUAAUGGGUUGUUGAGGGAGGUAUUGAGGAUAGGAGAGUAUAUGGGUUUGGCACCAAGGGAGGGGGAUAGGAAAAACAGUUUUGUUUAUAAGGCGCAGAUCCUGAACUAACCUGUAAGGCUUGUCUGGUUUUAGGACAGGUAAAAUGGGGGAAUUGUAAGGGGAGUUUAUAGGCUUUAAAAGGCCACGCUGUAGCAGGCAAGUGAUAACAGGCUUUAAUCCUUUUAAAGCAUUCUGUGGGAUGGGAUGUUGGCAUUGAGCGGGGUAAGGGUGAUUAGGUUUUAAUGGGAUGGUAAUGGGCAUAUGAUCGGUUGCCAGAGAAGGAAUAGAGAUGUCCUAUACUUGUGGGUUAAGGUUGGGGGAUACGAGAGGAAGAUGCAAAUGAGGCUUUGGGUUGGGGAGAAGGGCGGCAAUGAGAUGCAGCUGUAGUCCAGGAAUAGUCAGGGAAGCAGAUAAUUUAGUUAAAGUGUCUCGGCCUAAUAAGGGAACUGGGCAGGUGGGGAUAAUUAAAAAAGAGUGCAUAAAAGAGUAUUGUCUAAGUUGGCACCAGAGUUGGGGAGUUUUAAGAGGUUUAGAAGCCUGGCCAUCAAUACCUACAACAGUUAUGCAGGCAAGGGAAACAGGCCCUGAAAAUAAGGUAAUGUGGAGUGAGUAGCCUCCAUAUUGAUUAAGAAGGGGACAGAUUUACCCUCUACUGUGAGAGUUACCUAGAGUGUCUGUGAUGGUCCUGUAGGCUUCAUGAGGUGAUCAGGCAGUGUCAGUCUUCAGCUGCUAAGCCGAGAAGAUCUGGGAAGGAGUCAGUCAGAGAGCCUUGGGCCAGAGUUCCAGGGGCUUUGGAAGUGGCUGCCAGUCAACAUCAUCAACUAUGACGGGAGCUUAUUUAUUUUAUUUUGCAGUUUUCUGGAAAAAUUACUUAAUUUCUGAUUCUGACAAAACAGCAUGAAACUAUUCAAAACACGGAGUCCCCUUCGGAAUCCUCGGAGUCAAGCUCUGUGGAAGCAGGAACUGCUUUUGGUUAUCCUUGAAUAAGCAGUGAUAUUAUCUAUGUCUUACAGAUGAAGAAACAAAGCUCGGUCAGGCAGGCUGUCUGGCAGAAGUUCACAGAGCUGUGUCAGCAGCACAGCCUGACGGGAAUCCACAUCUGUUCAAAGCCAAAGAUGGUGUUCUUAACCCUCAUGCUCUUCAUCAAUGCUUUGCUGGCAGCCUGAAAGAACACUGGCACUUCCCAAAAGUAGCUCAUUUCUUUUUUUGGGAUUAAAUAUACACUCUGGACCUCAUACAUAUGAAAUAUGUUAGGGCUGUUUAUCAGAGGAUGGAAAACUUUUAAGGUUUGGAAACAUUUUAUUAAAGAACUCAUGAAUAUGGGAAAAUAAUAAGCAUUCAACAACUUUGAAUUGAAAUGUUUUUGAGAUUUUAACAAACAAGAAUUAAAUAAAACAUAAAUUUAGGGAGUUACAGCAACAUUUUAAAUAAUUAAUCUAUUCAUGGUAUCAAUUUUGAAAGAUAUUGAUACCUUAUCAGAAGAAUGAUGUUUCCUUACUGUUUUUGCAAAAGACGCUCAUGACCAGUCUCGUUCAUAGGAGAGUCUAAUUUCAGAGUGGAUGAAAGACUCAGAUUUUUGCAGCUGAAGAGACUUUAGAAGUCAUCCAGAUAAAUCACUCUGAGUUUUCUAGACAGAGGCUUGUCUCAUUUUUCCUUAAACAUCUCUAGUGAUGGAAUAUGCUCUGCCUUCUGGGGCAUCACAUUUCAUCCUAACAGCUCUUGUUAGUUCUUUCUUUCAAUUGAGUCCAAAUCUAUAUCUUUAAUUUCCACCCAAUUGCUUCCUUUUCUUUGCUUUUCCAAAUAACAGCCCAAAUUUUUUCUUUCUCUUGCCCCAAUUCCCUAUUUUUCUCAAGUACUCCAUAUGUAACAUGGUUCUGGGUCCUUUUGUCAUUCUGAUAGAUUUUCUUAGUAUAUAUGUUCCUUUUUUUGAAGUUCAUUCUUAAGUGUGUGAUUCCAAACAAAAGACAAUGCACAAAGAACUGUUAGUAAAUUGCAGAAUAAAAUAGCACUAUCGUUUUCCUUGAUUCACCAUGUUUUAUGUGAAUAACACAUGAAAAUACUAACCACAAAACAUACAAUAAAAAUUAUCAGCCUGAUGUUUACUCAGACUAAAUGUAAUGAAAAACUUAAUCAAUAAUGCAACAAUACAACAUGAGGAUUAUAGUUAAUAGAACUGUAUUAGAGUGUUUCGUUCAAUAAAUAGAUUUUUAGCUGCUCUUGUCACACAAAAAAGUGUGUGAGAUGCUUCACUAUAGUAACCAUAUACAUAGACAUAUAAUCAUAUACGUAUCACAUAACAUCGUGUUGUAACCCUCAAAUAUAUGCAAUAAAAUUUAUUUGAAAAACUAAUAUGACAAUACAAUUGCUCUUGCUACCAGCGCAGUUUGAAUUCAAAAUUUUAGACAAAUGAUAGACUACAGAAAAUACUUGGUCAUAGAAAACGUUAGUCUUUUUAGACUGCAUCUACGUACGUCAACUACCUUGAUGUUUUUCAAUUAUGAUUUUGUUACUUGAAUUUCUCCCUCUUCUCACCCAUGCUUGCUUGAUGACUGCCCAUUAUUCUGUCACCUCACCGUCUCUGUCCUCUAAGAAACUGCCCCUAAAUAUUUCAGCUUUAGUUGAGCUGCUUCUUUCUCGAAUUCUUAUUGAAAGUUAAAAUUUUGUUAAAAAGAUCUUCAGUUAAUAAUCUACCAAUAAAAAAUGAAUAAUGUUGAUGUUUAUGACAUCUAUUAUUUAUACAAAAUCUAACAUUACCAUUUCUAAAGAAAAAAUCUAAACAUUAAUUGAAGAGAACCAUAAAGCUCAACAUAGUACUGCUCCAAGUAGUUUUGUAAUACAAGUUAUCAUUUAAUACUGAAUACCUUGGAUUAAUUUUAAGACUUGAUAAAUACAUUCUAAUCUCAUAACCCAGUUUUAUCCACAAUAAGUGAACUAUUCUUAAUAUUGGAAAUUGAGUAAAUUGUUGAAAGUCGUAGUGUAAUGAAUGACAUGCAAUCUAAUAGAAGCACUUAACAAUUCUUUUAAUAAAUGAGCAUAUUCAAAGCCCACAAGACUUUGGUUCUGCGUUGUAAAUUAAUCAAAAGGUGAACAGUUCCCUUCUUUGUUUUCAAUAAAUACAUUUAUUCAAUUCUUUUCAGUAAAAAUGGUUAUUUCCCCAGAAUUCUAAUUAAAAUUCCAGUUAAAUACUUAAUUCUUUUGACCUCUAAACAAUAUAGUUCGUUAACAUGUAUUUGUGCAUUCAAGUUCUUAUUCCAUGUAAUGUGCAUUUGUAUAGUCUCCCAGUAUAAACUGAAGUUUGCUUGCUUGGAAAAAACAUAUUGUUUUCACCCACUGCAAGAUUUUAGAGGGAGCAUAGGGUCUGCAGCCCGAUCCAGCUGAAGGAAUGCUUAUCUCCAGUAUCUCUGUCUUGUUUAUUGCAAACAAAGCUCAUUUUUGUCCUUGUCUGACGGAUUUUCUUUUCAAUGAAACAUUUUGGUCUUUUCAUAAAUGUAAUUUUUGUCUAUUACUUAACCACUCUGUACCUCUAUUUCUUCAUCUGUAAAAGAAGAGUAAGAGUGGUUCUUUCUUACAGGGUGUUGUGAGUGUUAAAUGUAUUAAUACGUACGAAGUAUUUUGAACAUAGUGAAUAGCGUGCUGUUAGUAGCUUGUGAAAGUGAAUAAUAUGCUGUCAAUAGCACAUAGCGAAUAAUGUGCUGUUAGUAGUAGUAGCUUGUGAAAGUGCCUCUGUUACCAGGUAGUAAGGGAAUCCACGGUUCUUAGUUGUCCAGGGAGAAAGAUUUCGGCCAAGUGACAAUUCAGAUAACAGAGAGCUUUAUUGAAGGGAAAUCGAGAGCAGAGAGUUUAUAGAUAGACGGUACACUGAAAGAUAAGGCCGAACGGGCUACCGGAAGAGGGUGAGCCAGCAGCAGCCCGAGACUUGGGUUUUGAUGCUGUUGGUUUUUUUUCUUGAAGUUAGCUCCUAUUUCUUUAAUCUCUGCCUUUUUUCUCUGUCUAGUUUUCCCGCUCCUGUCUUAAAUCCCUGACUUUUCCCCUCCUAGUUCCUACGCCAGGCUUGUAGGACCCUCCCUUACUAUUAGUUGGUGCGCAUACGUGCGCUCGGUGUUGGAUCUCAAGUUUGUCUAAUGGCUGCGUUGCUCAUUACCGCCACCCCCAGGAAGGUUGUUUAGCGGGUCGAAUCUAAACUGUGCCUGCGAAUCUCUGACAAAUUUUCUCCUUUGAGCUCUUCCCCUUUAUCAGCAUAUACCUAGUGAGAUUCUGACACCUUAACUGUAGAAUGAGUGAUUACUGGGCAUCUUAAGGAGCUCUGCUUCCUGUAUAGUUUUUUUCCCUCCUCUUUGCUCAUAUCUGCACGCAUGUUUCGGGUGGUUUCUGGGGUGUGAGAUUAUCCAGACCUCCUUUUUCUCAGGGGCUCUUGCUCCUGGUCAUGUCUAGCUCUAGCUGUCUGCCUACUGUAACACUACCACAGCACAACACUAGUUGAAGUAAUGCUAAAUAAUCAAUAAGCCAGAUUUCCCCUCUGCAACCCAAAUCUAUAGCAAUGGUAGUCAUUUUGCUGACAUAGAACAACAACAAUUUGGUGAUAUUUUUUGCCUCUUUGCUCCAUUAAGACUCCUGGAUGAACUAUAAACUCAACUUAGGUUUAUACAAUAGAAUUUGGAUUAAAGAAAUAUCAAGCAGAAAAAUUUGUUCAGCAGGUGGAAGUAUAUUAAAAUCAGGGAAAGUAUUAUUUUAAAAUUUGGCUUUUUAAUAUAUUUACAUUCAUUUUUAUUAUCAUUAAAAUUUUUAUUUGUUUCAAAU